GACAAGUGUUGCAGGUUUUGCUGAGACAGCAGUGCUGGAUGGGAUACCAAUUAACGGUAGUUGUACUGGUAAUGUGGGCGUUGCUCUGGUUUGAGCCUAACAAUCCGUAUUACCUAGGUCAGCGAGCUCUGGAAAAACGAUAAUGAUUUCCUGUCACCAUAUACUGUCUUGAUCCUUCAACGUUCUCCUGGGAACAGAACGUUCCUGCUGGUUUCAUU